rnacentral:rRNA from 1 species
GACGAACGCUGGCGGCGUGCCUAAUACAUGCAAGUCGAACGCAGGGGGGACGGGUGAGUAACACGUGGGUAACCUCCCAUCAGAGGGGAUAACACUUGGAAACAGGUGCUAAACCGCUACUGAUGGAUGGACCCGCGGUGCAUUAGCUAGUUGGUGAGGUAACGGCUCACCAAGGCCACGAUGCAUAGCCGACCUGAGAGGGUGAUCGGCCACACUGGGACUGAGACACGGCCCAGACUCCUACGGGAGGCAGCAGUAGGGAAUCUUCGGCAAUGGACGAAAGUCUGAACGAGCAACGCCGCGUGAGUGAAGAAGGUUUUCGGAUUGUAAAACUCUGUUGUUAGGGAAGCGGUACCUAACCAGAAAGCCACGGCUAACUACGGUCCAGCAGCCGCGGUAAUAC